rnacentral:lncRNA from 1 species
UGAAAGUGAUCGUUCAUUAAAGAGAUAUUCAUUAUAUGGAAGGGUAAUCCCUUUUUGAGGGGUUGUUCCCAACCUGUUGAUAUAUUUCCACAUGAAACAAUCCAGAAGGUUUUUUUUUUAUUUAAAAAAGGCAGCAGUUAUGCCUGUCGUUUGAAACCUGGUAAAAAAAACGUAGAGAAACACUCACACACCUCAACAAUGACAAAUAUAUGGGGUUUUCUAUUAUAUUUGACAAUAGAUUAUGCCAGUUAUUUAAUAAUCUGGGAAACAACAUUCCCUAUACAAGUCGCCACUUUUCUCCUGAUACCAAAGUGUUCAUAAAAGAAAGAAGAAGGAGUUUUAAAACAAAAAAGGAUUUAUACUCGGUCUUGAAACACAUUGUCCCAAAAUUCGGUAAUGACAAUUAUGUCCGGAGGUAGAAAUAAUAAUGGAAACAUAUUCAGACAUCUGAUACGUUCAGGUAUUUCGCAUCCAAUCUUUUAUGGUGCAAUUCGUCACAAAGCACAAAUAUUUCGGAUUUCACUUCAAAAGCUAACUAAAACUUUAAA